UGUCGGUCCUCUCGCAAUGAUAGAUCGUGAACCCAGCCAGAUCCGGAAGGAAGCAACUGCAGCGUUCGACUCAUGUGCCGGGAUGUGGCUGGCAGGG
rnacentral:SRP_RNA from 1 species